UUUGGCGUUUGGCUUAUUUCACCAACUUAAUGUUGCAACGAACCGAAACAGAUACCUAAGCAAAGAAAUUAUAACUUACAUCGUAGAAAUACUGGAUGCAUGGAUAUCAUGAACUAAUUUUGUUUCUGGUUUGCACACUACGAGCGAAGAUACCAUUUAAUACGGCAGACUACUCUUCAAAGCGACGAUGCCGAACGACAAAACCCCCAAAAUAUUUCUCAUGAUCCGUCGAAAGAAGAUCACUGUCAUUUUGGAUGCAAAAUCGGAUACAACUUGCCUUGAUAUCAAGAGGUUUCUUGAGACUAUGUUGAAGGUCCCACCGGAUAACCAAAGGCUCCUCUACAACGAAGUCAUCUUAGAAGAUGCCGACACUCUAGAAUCCGUCGGCAUAACUCCAUCCUUAGCCCCCAUGCACAGGCCCGUUACCCUGAUCCUGGUCAUGAGCCAGGAGGACGGGGAGUUUGAGGCGCCCGAAGUCUCGCCGUUCACGCCGCUAGAUUCUGCAGACAAGACCACCGCACCCAGCAGUCCGGCUUCCACGCUGUCCUAGUCGACCGCGGGGCACGGCGCCGAUGGCGACGAGCAGACAGCGGUACUUCAUUGGCCACUAGGUUGCUCACUGACCGGCAAAGUAUAGCAGGCCAUAGCAGGCGAAAACUUUUGCGUGGUGUGGUUCAGUGACAGCAGUGGUGUCUUGGGCGUGGACGUCAGGCCCAUGGAUGGUUGAAGCAUUCCACGGCUUCCUUCCUCUCUAAUAUAAUGUUAAUUGCUUGA